rnacentral:rRNA from 2 species
GGGUUGUGAGGUUAAGCGACUAAGCGUACACGGUGGAUGCCCUGGCAGUCAGAGGCGAUGAAGGACGUGCUAAUCUGCGAUAAGCGCCGGUAAGGUGAUAUGAACCGUUAUAACCGGCGAUUUCCGAAUGGGGAAACCCAGUGUGACUCGUCACACUAUCAUUAACUGAAUCCAUAGGUUAAUGAGGCGAACCGGGGGAACUGAAACAUCUAAGUACCCCGAGGAAAAGAAAUCAACCGAGAUUCCCCCAGUAGCGGCGAGCGAACGGGGAGGAGCCCAGAGCCUGAAU